AGCGAACGCUGGCGGCAGGCCUAACACAUGCAAGUCGAACGAACCCUUCGGGGUUAGUGGCGGACGGGUGAGUAACACGUGGGAACGUACCUUUAGGUUCGGAACAACACAGGGAAACUUGUGCUAAUGCCGAAUGUGCCCUUCGGGGAAAGAUUUAUCGCCUUUAGAGCGGCCCGCGUCUGAUUAGCUUGUUGGUGAGGUAAAGGCUCACCAAGGCUACGAUCAGUAGCUGGUCUGAGAGGAUGAUCAGCCACACUGGGACUGAGACACGGCCCAGACUCCUACGGGAGGCAGCAGUGGGGAAUCUUGCGCAAUGGGCGAAAGCCUGACGCAGCCAUGCCGCGUGAAUGAUGAAGGUCUUAGGAUUGUAAAAUUCUUUCACCGGGGAAGAUAAUGAGGUACCCGGAGAAGAAGCCCCGGCUAACUUCGUGCCAGCAGCCGCGGUAAU
rnacentral:rRNA from 1 species